UAGGCAUUAGUCUAAACAAGAUAGUUGAUUUCGGCUCAACAGAUUUGGAAUCUAUCUCCAAACGCCU
rnacentral:tRNA from 1 species